AGGAACUGUUGACACGCCAUCUCUGCAUGACAGAAUCCAGGCCAGCCCGGACCCCAAAAAGGCACUGAGUGACUUCCUGAGCAGACAGAAGAUGGGGAGGCUAGCAACGGCAGAAGAAGUGGCCCAGUUGUGCGUGUACUUGGCUUCUGACGAAUCUGCCUAUAUGACUGGUAAUGAUGUCAUCAUCGAUGGAGGCUGGAGCUUGUGAUUUCUAAAUCAUAACAGUGGAAGAGAAGCCCCUUCAUAGUUAGGCUGGGUUUGAAUACAAAUUGUAAUCACUUACAAAUUUAUGUAGCACUUAGUGGUUUAAAAAUCACACCCUUAAAUUUCAUUGCUAAAGGAUACAUUGAAUUUAAUCAGAUAUUUUCUUUUAUUUCUCAUAGAGACAAAUCAUAGUAAUUGUCUACAUUGAUUCAAUUGGAAGGUAUUCAAUCUAUUACACAAUUCUGAAAUAUUCUUGGUCUUUUUCUGUCCUUUUGAACUUUUCAGACACUCAGAAUAAAAUUAUGUUAUAUUCA